CAACCCCAUUGUAAAUUAAGAAGAGAUAUUACUGUAGAAAACAAUACCAUUCAUUAAAUAUAUAAUUGGUUAGUAAUGCUGACAUGGAGAUUAUAAGUGUGGAUGCCAACUGGAACUGGAGCUACUCAUGACAUUUGGGCAAACCAGAGGCAUUAAGCAACAUCUAGAGGACUUAAGCUGGAAUAAAUCCUUAUGAUUACUUGGAGAUCCAGGAAAUGCUUUAGAGAAGUAUACUCCCAUCUCAAAUGCUAUACCAGGACCACAAGAAGCAUAUUACACUGUAAGAACAUGGAAUAUCAUUGAGAGCACAAUUGGGCUUCUAGAUUUAGAUGCCUACAUGUACUUUGAGCUCUUAUAGAGAACUAAAUGAAGGUCUUGCUGCUAGACAAACCCAUGUUUUUUAGUUGUGGAACUAAGAAAUUGAAACAUUUAUAAAUAAUAAUAUUGUUAAUAGGUCAAUGUUUUAAUUAUUUGUUUUUAUAAUAAAUGA